rnacentral:misc_RNA from 1 species
GAAAUGCGAUAAGUAAUGUGAAUUGCAGAAUUCAGUGAAUCAUCGAAUCUUUGAACGCACCUUGCGCUCCUUGGUAUUCCUUGGAGCAUGCCUGUUUGAGUAUCAUGAACUCUUCAAAGUAAAUCUUUUGUUAACUCAAUUGGUUUCUACUUUGGUAUUGGAGGUCUUUGCAGCUUCACACCUGCUCCUCUUUGUUCAUUAGCUGGAUCUCAGUGUUAUGCUUGGUUCCACUCGGCGUGAUAAGUUAUCUAUCGCUGAGGACACUGUAAAAGGUGGCCAAGGUAAAUGCAGAUGAACCGCUUCUAAUAGUCCAUUGACUUGGACAAUACUUUUAUGAUCUGAUCUCAAAUCAGGUAGGACUACCCGCUGAACUUAAGC